AGAACGAACGCUGGCGGCGUGGAUAAGACAUGCAAGUCGAACGCUGACAUUUAGGUAGCAAUAUUUGAAUGUCGGAGUGGCGCAAGGGUGUGUAACACGUGGGCAAUCUGCCGUGAAGACUGGAAUAACUCGCUGAAAGGCGAGCUAAUACCGGAUGUGAACGCAAGUUCAAAGUUGGGGACCGCAAGGCCUGACGCUUUACGAUGAGCCCGCGGCCUAUCAGCUAGUUGGUGAGGUAACGGCUCACCAAGGCUAAGACGGGUAGCUGGUCUGAGAGGACGACCAGCCACACUGGAACUGAGACACGGUCCAGACACCUACGGGUGGCAGCAGUCGAGAAUUUUUUCACAAUGGACGAAAGUCUGAUGGAGCGACGCCGCGUGGAGGAUGAAGGUUUUCGGAUUGUAAACUCCUGUCACUGCAGAACAAGGAUGCGUUUAUGAAUAGUAGAUGCAUUUGAUGGUAUGCGGAGAGGAAGGGA
rnacentral:rRNA from 1 species